AACGGAGCAUUUCGGUGCUUAGUGGCGGACGGGUGAGUAACGCGUGAGAAUCUGCCCUUUGGAUGGGGACAACAGUUGGAAACGACUGCUAAUACCCGAUGAGCCGAGAGGUAAAAGAUUAAUUGCCAAAGGAUGAGCUCGCGUCCGAUUAGUUAGUUGGUGAGGUAAAGGCUCACCAAGGCAGCGAUCGGUAGCUGGUCUGAGAGGAUGAUCAGCCACACUGGAACUGAGACACGGUCCAGACUCCUACGGGAGGCAGCAGUGGGGAAUUUUCCGCAAUGGGCGCAAGCCUGACGGAGCAAGACCGCGUGGGGGAUGAAGGUUUGUGGAUUGUAAACCCCUUUUGACAGGGAAGAUGAUGACGGUACCUGUCGAAUCAGCCUCGGCUAACUCCGUGCCAGCAGCCGCGGUAAUACGGAGGAGGCAAGCGUUAUCCGGAAUUAUUGGGCGUAAAGCGUCCGUAGGUGGUUGUACAAGUCUUUUGUCAAAGCGCGAGGCUUAACUUC
rnacentral:rRNA from 1 species